rnacentral:rRNA from 1 species
AUCCACAUGUAAGUCGAGCGAGCGGCGGACGGGCGAGUAAUGUAUGGGGAUCUGCCCGAUAGAGGGGGAUAACUACUGGAAACGGUGGCUAAUACCGCAUACCAUCGGAUGAACCCAUAUGGGAUUAGCUAGUAGGUGGGGUAAAGGCUCACCACGCCGACGAUCUCUAGCUGGUCUGAGAGGAUGACCAGCCACACUGGGACUGAGACACGGCCCAGACUCCUACGGGAGGCAGCAGUGGGGAAGAUUGCGCAAUGGGGGCAACCCUGACGCAGCCAUGCCGCGUGAAUGAAGAAGGCCUUCGGGUUGUAAAGUUCUUUCGGUAGCGAGGCGUUAACUACAGAGGAAGCACCGGCUAACUCCGUGCCAGCAGCCGCGGUAAUAC